rnacentral:tRNA from 2 species
GCCGGCGUGGCGGAAUGGUAGACGCGGCGGAUUCAAAAUCCGCUGGGGGCAACCCCGUGGAGGUUCGAGUCCUCUCGCCGGUA